rnacentral:misc_RNA from 1 species
UCGUAAAGGUGCMUGAGUGGUGUUUGGUUUGUUACGUGUGGUUGGCUGCGGCGUUUGCAACAACUUCCAUGCUCUCAGACCUCUUCAGUUGUGCGGCAAGGCUUGUAUCGCCUUGAGCGUAUCGUGGGUUUUCUGUGUUGGCUACCUAAUCGACGGUAUCGUUUGGAUUGAUCAAAGUGUGAUUUCGUCUUCCGUCGCGUUUGCGGCGUGAGGUGAACCUUGACGCGGUCUCUUUGAUCCAUCUCGUCGAAGCAUAUGCUUUGACGUUGUGGCACAUUGGGCAUUGCUUGGUCUCUUGUGUACGGAACACGUAGCGGGCAUGGAUCUAACGAUUCUUGUUUGCCCUCAUAUUAGCGUAACGCUUCUCAAACACGACUUGCAUCGCGUUUUAGCUCGUACGGACGUGGUGCUAUGUCGCAGAGGAAUGCUACCUGGUUGAUCCUGCCAGUAGUCAUAUGCUUGUCGUCAAAGAUUAAGCCAUGCAUGUGUAAGUA